rnacentral:lncRNA from 1 species
ACUGCAGCAUAAAGAUUACGUUCCAGCGAACUUGGGUUGGGUGAUGAAUAUAAGUGAUUCUGAUAUUUCCAUUUAUUGCAACACGUAUUACAAUGAAUCCUUCAAAUCUGAAUGUGCGUGUCGGCGUGGAUUUGAGGGUAACCCUUACCUUGAACUUGGUUGCAAAGGUAAAUAUUGAUCUAACUUUUUUCUUGAUUUAUUUAUUAUUUUUAUUCAAGCAAUAGUUUUUUUUGUGUGUGUUUAUGUAAUCAAAUUUAAUUAUGGUAAGUGUCAGAUUAAAAUAAAAUGUUAAUUAACGAUGGCAAAUACAUGAUUGGUUUAGAAUCAGGAAGUAGUUUAGUAUUUUAAUACUUAUUUUCAAAAUUUUAUUUUUAAUUUAUUCCGGUUUGUAUUAAUUACUUUUAGCUAGAUAUUAACUGUGGAACCAAAAUUAAUAAAAAUUAAUUACUUGGCAACUGACAUGGUGAUUACUUUUUAUUUGGUUCAAGAGGUGGCCCUCCUCCUCCAUCUCCAAAUUUUAAUAUAUUUCAUAAUUAUUUGUAUAUGAGAUGGUGAUUAUUUUUGCUUUCUUAUUUUAUUAGAUGUUGAUGAAUGCAAGACCCCAGAGAAAAAUACGUGCCGAGGGAUGCUCAAAUGCGUGAAUACACGAGGAGGGUUCAAAUGCGCGAUAAAUAAAAUUUAUAUAAUUAUCAUAGGUACGGAGGUUUCUGAUUUAUUCCUUUCGACUUGUUAAUGCCUGUCACUAAUGUUCAUUUUCAGCUUUAUAGUUUUUAUGAAAUGUUAUAUUGGUCCUCAUACAAUGAGCAUUCACUAAUUUAUGGCUUGAUCAUAUAAACAGAGAAAUGAUUAAAUGAUUAAUUCUACAUAAUUAAUCUAGCAUGCUACUAUUCAGCAGUCAUAUAUGUGAGCUCAAAUGUCAACAUAUUAAUUAAGAUUUAUGCGUUGCUGUAAAUAACGCAGUUGUAGGAUCAGUCAUCUUUAUAUUGGUACUGCUGUUUGGCCUUUGGUGGAUAUAUAAACUUGUAAAGAAGAGGCAGAACAAGGAACUCAAAAAGAAAUUCUUCAAACGUAACGGUGGGCUAUUGUUACAGCAACAAUUAUCCACCAGUGAUGGUAGCGUUCAGAAAACAAAAAUAUACAGUUCCAAGGAGUUGGAAGUAGCCACCGAUGGUUUUAAUGUUAGCAGAAUACUUGGAGAAGGUGGUCAAGGCACUGUUUACAAGGGAAUGUUAACAGAUGGAAGAAUUAUUGCUGUUAAAAAGUCCAAAGUCAUUGACGAAGAAAAUCUCGAAGAAUUUAUUAACGAGGUCUUCAUUCUCUCACAAAUCAACCACAGAAAUGUGGUUAAGUUGCUAGGUUGUUGCUUGGAGACUGAAGUUCCUAUACUGGUAUAUGAAUUCAUUUCCAAUGGAAAUCUUUACAAGUAUAUCCAUGUUCAAAACGAUGACUUCUUGUUAUCUUGGGAAAUGCGAUUACGGAUUGCCAUUGAGGUUGCGGGAGCCCUUUCUUAUCUACACUCGGCAGCAUCGAUUCCAAUUUAUCACCGUGAUAUCAAGUCUACAAACAUACUCCUAGAUGAGAAAUAUAGAGCCAUAAUAUCAGAUUUUGGAUCUUCAAGAUCCAUUGCCAUCGAUCAAACUCACUUGACCACUCAUGUGCAGGGUACUUUUGGCUACUUGGAUCCAGAGUACUUUCAAUCUAGUCAAUUUACAGAAAAAAGCGAUGUUUAUAGCUUUGGAGUGGUUCUGGUUGAGCUUUUAAGUGGACAAAAACCGAUAUUUUCCGCUAGCCCGACAGAAAGUAGAAGUUUAGCCACGCAUUUUAUCAUGUUGAUGGAAGAUAACAGGUUGUUUGAUAUUCUUGAUGCUAGAGUCAAACAGCAUUGCCAUAAUGAAGAAGUUGUUGCUGUCGGCAAUCUUGCAAGAAAAUGCUUGAAUUUGAAUGGGAAAAAUCGGCCAACAAUGAAAGAAGUAACCACAGAGUUAGAGAGGGUAAUUCAAAAGGGAUCAAAUGUUCAACAAGACAGUCAAGAGAAUGAAAGUAUCAUGGCUGAUCUCAGUGUGCGAUACAUGGGAUGCAUUUCCGACAUCAAUAAUGACUUUUAGCAAGGAGACUUAGAUAAAAAAAAAAUUAAAUAUUUUUUUUAUUAUAUAUUCAAUAUUAUUAAAGUUUUCUAGUUUUUUUUAAAUAAAGAGUUGUCAUGACUUUUAGCAAGAAGACUUAGAUAAAAAAAAAUUAAAUAUUUUAUGUGUUUCUCUAUUAUUUUUAUUUUUUAAGAGUUUUCAUUUAUAACAAACUUUAUUAUCAUUUACUUCUCAAUUAUCAGUCAUUUUAUGUUAAAAAUAAGAUUUAUAACUAAAAAUAAAAAGAUAAAAUAACUAAAAAAAGUAUCUUAAAUUGCUAGACAUAAUAAUUGAUUAUGUAAGAGCAGUACUACUUCAUUCGAUCGUAAAACGAUCUAGAGAAACAAAUCUAAUUAACCUUCCAAAUAUCCAUUAACAUUUUUUUAAUCAAGCAAGAUCGAAAGAUUAAAAUAAUAUAAUUAAUGGACAUAUUGGAAUAAAAGUCAUUAUUGACUGAUUAUCAUAAGAAAUUACAUUUAGUCAACGACGCAUGAGCUUAGAAGAAGCAUGCAAAAUUCUCCGGUGGCUAUAUAAAGACAUGAUCAAACCUAGUAUUGUCGAAAACCAAACUCAAAGAAGAAUAGAAGAAAUAAAAAUAACAGUAUGCAGGUUCUGAAACUUGUCUCCCAUGUUUCUUUCUUGUUAUUAAUGCUGAUGUUUCAGCCAGCAACAGCGCCAGCACCGGCUGGUCUGGCCGGCAAAACCUAAUUGUUCGGACCAUUGUGGAAAUAUUAGCAUUCCAUACCCGUUCGGGAUUGGAAAGGAUUGCUACAUGGCGGAAUCUUUUGACGUUGAAUGCGAUGAAACUUCCAAACCUCCUAGAGCUUUUUUACGUAGCAUCAAAAUGGAGCUGGUGAAUAUUACAUUAGAAGGAGGUGCAGUUGUCAACGGUCCAGUGAUAUCCGUUCAUUCUUCGGGCCGGCAAGAAGGUGUACCUGUGAAUUUGGAAGGAACUCCUUUCCUCUUUUCCUAUACCAAUUAUUUCAUUGCAGUGGGCUGCAAUACUCGAGCCAGUUUGUGGACAAAAAAUGGCUCGACCGAACAUGUUGGAUGCGACUCAAUUUGCUCCAACGGUAGUUCCAUUAGUAAUAUUCAGCUUGAAAAUGGUGCAUGCUCUGGUAAGGACUGUUGUCAAGGUAUGUACUGGCCUCCCUCACUUCAGGUUUUCAAUUCAACUUUCGAGUUAAUAGAGGGUAAACAAGGAAGUGACGGGCGUAAAGUACUGGCCUUCCUAGCAGACAUGAAUUGGUUUGAUUCCAAAAUGAAAAAUCCCCAAGAAAUCAACAAAUUGCCAAGUACUGUUCCUAUGUCGCUUGGUUGGAUACUAAAUAACAAUAGUUGGACAUACAACAAAGAUACCAUGGAUUGCUACGUAACGCGAAUAAAUAGUACGACAAAUAUGACAGCCGGACGUUGUUCUUGCUCAGAAGGUUACGAGGGCAAACCUUACCUUCAAUGCAGAGGUAAUUUUUCCCACACAAAAAUAUAUUAUCCCUUUUUCAGUUAUUAUAGUUGCUGUUAAUUAUUCUUGUUAUGAUUUAUAUUUCUUUUGAUUGUAUACAUAGAAGUUGUAACAAACCAUACUUAUUAAAUAUUACUCGGAGCGGGCUAGAAUUGAUAUGAUUUAAUAAUUAAAGAAAAUAAAAUUAAAAUCAUGUUAUUGUGAAUAAUUUUUUUAAAAUCAACAAGUUUUUAUCGAAUUAUGGAUAAAUUUAGAUUUUUAAUUAAAUCAUACCAAUUUAUGAUCAAAUAUAACUCAGGCGGAGCUCUGCAUUAACUGUAACUCAAGUCUACUUGUUGGACCGAUACAGUUUAAUAACCAUGCUAAGAACGCAAAUAUCUAUGGAGUGAACACAUAACUGAACCAUAUAAAGUUUAGUGAAAAUUUGUUGUCCGCAAAACUGAAAAAUAAUUGUUCUCACUAAAAAAAAUAUAUGAUACAAUUAAAUUAUAAUAUUGGGAUUAAUUAAUUUUAAGGAAAGUAGUUUUAUAGGAAAAUAGUCUCAUAUGUCUUUAGAUUUGUAUUAUCCGAAUAUAUAGAAAAUACUUCCAAUGAGUUCCUAUAUCUAUAUGCAUGUAUUUAAUAUAUUACAUCUAUUAUAUUUUUAAGGUAUCAAAAAGUCCUUAAUAUAUGUUUAAGGAAUCUCAAUUCAACAAUAUUGCAACAGGAAAUUAUAUAAUUGUUGGAAAAAAAUGGUUUUUAGACAUAUUCAAAGCCUAAUCAAACAUACGAAUUGAUUCAUUUCUGUUGGUUUCUUUAUACAUUAGACAUUGAUGAAUGUGAAGACCGAAACAGUACUUGCCAUGGAUUGACAAGAUGUGUGAAUACAAAAGGGUCGUACAAAUGCGAACUUCAUCCUUUAUGGUUUACUGUUCUAGGCAUGUAUCUCUUCUCUCUUAUUGUUUUUAUAUUAUUUUAUACUCUACGUUUUUAAAAUAAAGAAAACUCUAAGCAGACAAAUUUAUACAUUAAAAAAAUAUAAAGGACCGGAAAUUGCAAUUUAAUUUUUAUAUUUUUUAAUGCAAUUAUACGUUAAUUAAUCUUGCUGAGAAUAUCAUAAAUAAUUCAAUACUAUUUACAGAUACAAAUAUUUUUUUAAUAUAUUACUAGUACAAUUUCAAAACCUAGUAUUUCACUCUUACAUUUGAUUUUUCACUCUCUUCCUCUCUCUUUGUGCUCUCUCUUCUUGGCUUAAUUUUACAUUUAAUUUUCUAUCUUUUUUUUUUGUUAUGUUUAAAAUUGUUAUGAUUAUGACAUAUGAAUUGUUUAUUUAUCAAUGUAUUUAAUUAACAAGCUCCAUCUUGAACACGCAAAUUACCAAGGUAACCAUAUAGUAAAUUAGCAAGUAAAUUCAAUUAGCUUUGUACAUGUGGAACUUUAGGUUAACAACAGAAAAACUUAAGCUAUACGGAUAUAAGUGGAAUAUUGAUGAAUUUAUAUGAGUAAAAAUGAAGUUUACCCUUUUGUAAUUAAUUUGAGGAUGGUAAAUCAACUUUAUUUUCCAGCAAGACUGAAAACCUAUAAUAUUACAAGCUAUUCACAAAUCUUGCUAUAAUGUAACAAUCAUACAGUUAUCUGUCUGGCCCUUGGAGUACUGUUCUUGCUUAUUGGUGCUUGGUGGAUGUCCAAACUUAUCAAACGAAGGAAGUGCAUUCAGUUGAAGAAGAAGUUUUUCAAACGGAAUGGUGGUCUCUUAUUGCAGCAACAAUUAUCCUCCAGUGAUGGUACUGUUCGUAAGACAAAAGUAUUCAGUUCAAAUGAGUUGGAAAAGGCGACCGAUUUUUUUAAUGAGAACAGAAUACUUGGUCAUGGCGGCCAAGGCACCGUUUACAAGGGAAUGUUAGCUGCUGGGACUAUCGUUGCAGUUAAGAAGUCUAAGAUAAUGGAUGAAGAUAAACUAGAAGAAUUCAUCAACGAGGUUGUCAUUCUUUCACAAAUCAGUCACAGAAAUGUGGUUAGACUACUCGGAUGUUGCUUGGAGACUGACGUUCCUCUGCUAGUCUAUGAAUUCAUUCCCAGUGGAACUCUUUUCCAAUAUCUCCAUGAGCAAAACCAGGACUUUACGUUAUCAUGGGAGUUGCGGUUACGAAUUGCCUCGGAAGCUGCAGGUGCGAUAUUCUAUCUUCACUCGACAGCAUCUAUCCCGAUUUAUCACCGAGACAUUAAGUCCACAAACAUACUCUUAGAUGAGAAAUAUAGAGCAAAAGUUUCAGAUUUCGGAACUUCAAGAUCAGUUUCCAUCGAUCAAACUCAUCUGACCACCAAGGUGCAAGGUACUUUUGGUUACUUAGAUCCAGAGUAUUUUCGAACCAGUCAAUUAACAGAAAAGAGUGAUGUUUAUAGUUUUGGAGUAGUUGUUGUGGAGCUCUGAAGUGGGAAAAAACCAAUUUUCUUAACCCAUUCACUGGAAACCAUGAGCUUAGCCGAACAUUUCAUUGAAUUGAUGGAAGAUGGUAGACUCUUUGAUAUCAUUGAUGCCCAGGUUAAGGGGGAUUGCACUGAAGAGGAAGCCAUAGUUAUAGCGAAUCUUGCAAAGAGAUGUCUGGAUUUGAAUGGAAGAAACCGGCCAACAAUGAGAGAAGUUGCAAUGGAAUUGGAGUGGAUUCUAUUAUCACGUAACGGUAUCAAUAUUCAACAAAUUGUUGAAGUGGAUAAUUCAUCGAGGUCGAUUUCCUGCAGCAGUUUCGAGAUUGGUAUAGAUCUACCAUUAGAUUGCUAACCGUCGAUUUCUUCUGAAACAUGGUGAGCGAUUAAGAAAAUAUAUCACAAAUCAUAUGUUUCUUUUUUGUUUUUAAGAGUGUUAGGAGCGUUUCUGAUUGAAUAAAAACUUAUAUUUGUAUUGUGGUCCUUGUGUUUUAGCACAUGUUCUUAGUCUUUCAUGUUAAGAACUUAAUAAAUUAAAAAUCCUUCGCGUUGAUUAUAAAAGAGUUUCUUUGAUCGAUUGGUAACUUGAGCCAUGUCUCUCUCUUGAGGAAACAAAACCAUCAUCAAACCGUCGAUUUUUUAUUUGUUUCUGUAUUUUAAAAAUAUUUUUUAAAAAAUUAAUAUUUUUUAUUUUUUUAUUUAAUUCAAAUUAAUAUGUUUUUAGUAUUUUCAAAUCAUUUUGAUAUGCUGAUGUCAAAAAUAAUUUUUAAAAAAUAAAAAAAACAUCAUUAACAUGUAUUUUGAUAUAAAAAAUUAUUUAAAAAACAACCACAACCACACUACCAACGCAAAAUUGAAUUCAAAAAGGGUGGUUUAAACUGCCUAAUUUACAUAAAAUACUUGAAUUCGAAAUUUAAAGAUAUAUAGAAGCUGGGCCUCUGCAGUUUGGUUAGUUUAUUAAUGCGGGUUGGAUUUUUUUUUAUAUAAAUAAAACUGAAUAAUUAUUAAUGCGGGUUGUGAAACUUUCAUCCAUAAGUUUUGGAGCCUUGAUAAGUAAACCAAGAGUCUUCCUGUCUGUAUUUGAUAGACCUGUCAACUGAAGAUAGAAAGAAAAAAACUAAAUUCAAUCCUAUAUUUGCAUUAAGAACAAAAAACAGUAGCCUUUAAGAAAUAGUAGUGUUAACCCAUUUUGGAUCCUCACAAAUAAAAUAAAUAAAAAUAAUAAUAAAUAAAUAAAAACCAAAACAGUGUAGACAUUAUUCUCUCUCUCCCGCAUGCUGCUCCCAAAACCCCAUGGCUAGAAAACAGUGCAGGCGUGCCCUGCAAAGCCACGCUCAUGGGAGACCUCACCCGGUGUCCCCUGCUCCCCAGGCGCAACAGCAGGCCGCUCCCCUGCUCCCCACGCGCAACAGCAGGGAUUUGCCCUAUAAAUACUGCUCAACACCAGCAUAGAAAGGAGGAGGGAGAGAAGUUUGAACGAGAGAAGAGAGAACGGAGAGAAAGGAAGGAAAGAAUACAGAGAAGUUUGAAACGAGGAGAGGUACUGUGAGAAUGUAGAGAAGAGAGAAACCAAAACAGUGGAGGGAGUUCUUUUUGGAGGGAGGACGGGAGGUGCAGUUUUUUUUAGUUUUGAAGGAGUGACAGGGGAAAGAAAGAAGGGAGAACAGGGGGGGAAUUUCUGAAUAAGAGGAGAACGGAGAGAAUAGGAAGAGAGGAAACGAAAUAGAAAAAGGAGUGAAGAAGACGGGGACGUUCUGAAAUAGACAAACACACCCACACUGCCAACACCAUUGUCAUUUUUCCUCAGCUCACCAUCUUCUCCCCACACGUUGCAGCACCAUUGAAGAAAAGGCAGCAACCUGCGACUCUGCAAGGAGAAGAAGAAGAACCGUGCCUCACCCUCUGGAACCACUGCCAUUCUGCCACCAUCAGCACUGCCAACAACAGCAGAACCACCGCUUGGAAGAAGAACCAGAGAAGCAAGGUGACAGAAACCAGAGGAAGAAGCUAAAGAGAGUAACGAACAGCUGAAAGAAGGAAACACCAGAGACAGAGUAGAGAAAGCCAAAAACGGAAGAGAGGGAGCCGCUGCAGAGAGGAAAGAACAGUUGCUGUCACCGGGCUCCUCAGCCACCGGCCACCGUCCAAGCCACUCCCCAGGCCGCCACCACCAGCACCUCCACGAAGCCGCUGCAGAGAGGGAAGAACAUUGUUGACAGCAGAAAACACCAGAGAUCAAAAGGAGAAGAAGCAAACAGAAGCAAACGGGGAAGGAAAACAGAGGCUGGCGUCUCUGCACGGGAAAAAAGAAGAGAAAACAGCUGCUGUCACUGGGUUCCACAGCCACCGACCACCGUCCCAGCCAUCCUCCGGUCAGCCGCCACCAGCAGCACCGCGAGCGUACGCCAUUACCAUCGUCUUCAAGCAUCGUUUCCGCUACCAGGUUUGCUCCCCGCGUCCCUGUGCAUGCAAUUCCAUUCUUUGCAUUUCAAUGUUCAAGUGAAUUAUAAUUCACUUGAACAGUGAAAAGCUUUUCCAGAUGCAGCUAAAUAACAUGGUGCAGUAUUCACAAACAUGAGGGAGGAAAGCAUGAAGUCACCUUCAAAACUCUUGGCAUGCACUCGGAAGAAGUAUUUGCAUGUUGAGUCAAAUGCUAAAUUCCCAGACAUUCUGGUAUAUUGUUCACAACCAGGAAAACUAAAUAACAUGGUGCAGUUUUCACAACCAGGAAAACUAUGGAGAUGGAUUUGUGUUUUUUGUGUACAAGAAGCUCUGUAUUGGAUGAAUAUGAGCUCUGUUUUUGGUUCCUCCUGGUUGACGAAGGCUCCCCAUUUCUUGCCUUUGUUCGUCUCUUUUUAUUGUAGAGCAAAGGUUGGAAUUAACGUAGUUUAGCAUAAUUUCUAGGACUUGAUUCUUGGAGACUUGAUUGAAGAUUUGGGCUGCAAUUAUGAUAUUGCAAUCUGGUUUAAUUGCUUUAGAUCUUCUGGAGAUUGCAAUCUCUGGCUUAAUUGCUUGGGAUUGCAAUGAAAAAUCUAAAAUUCAUCGUUGGAUUUUGGGGUUUAAUUGGACUAGAAAUAAAUCAAUUAAAAAUAAUUGGAUUCAAAUUGAGUUAACUUGGGACUAAAUUGAAUCAAACUAAUUCAAUUAGACUGGUAUGAUUGAAAUGAAUUGAAAUAAAAAUCCAACAAACAUUCUUUAUUCUCAUUAUAGUCCUUGGAUUUUGAAUUGCUUCAAUUUGCUUUAAAUCACCUUUUUCUUUCUAAUUGUAUCCCCAAUUAAAUUAAUUUAGGCCUGCAAAUCAAUCAUUGGCUCCUAAAAUUAAGUAAUUUUAAUCAAUUUAACUCUCAAUUUUGAUAUUCUUCUUCUUCAAUUAAUCCCUUCGUCAAUUUAUAAUUUGGCUAUUUGUUUCAAAAUCAACCUUGAACAUAAACUUUCGUUAACUCUUAGCAAAAUUAAAUUAUAUUAAGUCAUUUUCUUUUUUAAUUCAAACCUUGUUUUUGCCUAUGAAGCUUGAUUAUCGGUCCAAAUUCAAAUCCUAGCUAUUUUUUUAUAUUUUGAAAAAAUUUCUUUAUUUAUGCAUUUUGUAUUUUUUAUGAUUUUCAAGAUGUUUUGACACACAAAAUUAAAUAAAAAGGAAGAAAAUAAUAAAAUGAUUAAAAUAGCUAAAAUUAUUGAAAAUACAUAUUGUUUUGGAUUUUUCUAAUUUUUUUCAAAAUAUAUAAAAAAAUGAGGGUAAAAUUAGGUUUCAACAUUGAGCAUUGAUAUAUAUACUUGAUAAAAAAAAAGGAUUUGUGUUAGUAACUGCCAGAAAUGGUAAAAACCAUAGAUGAAAACUUUUCAAGAGUAUUAGGCGUGAAUUGAUCACACUAUGUAUUUCCUUUCCCCCUUUUAUUUUAUUUUCUUUGGGACAUGCAUGAAAGUGAACAUUCAACAUCGAGGACUACAGGGGGGUUGGAAUUUGGUGGGCUGUGUUAAGUGCGAAAAAAAAAAAACUGUUCCAAAUCAAUAAAUUGCAAGGACUUUUCUGGGUACAAUACCUAAAUAAAAGUGAAAGCAAAUAUUGGUUCAUAAUUUAAAACUGUAUCAUAGACGUGACCAGUUUGAUUAUUGAUUAAUUUCUGAUAGAAAGUGCAUUCCACAUUAUAAAAAAGUGGAAGCAUUAACAUUUGCUUUUCCAUCUGAAAAAGGAAACGAAAACGAUUGCUUCAUGAAUAAAUGGUUGUCAAUUGUUUGUUUGCAACAAAUCAACUUUGACCAGUUCAAUGAUUUCAAUCAUGGCCAGGAUUAGUUUUUUAAAAACCAAAAAUCAAGAAAAAAGACUUUUUAAAGAAUUUUAGUGGUAAGGAUUUAGUAUUGAAUAAUUAAUUAAUCACUUUAUUUUAGUAAUUUAGUAAUUUGAUUCAUGUAAAUCAAUGUAGCUGGUAGAAGAUGUCUGUAAAAAAUCUUAUUCGGUAAAUAUACAAACUUUCAAAUUUCUAUGAAAAUAUUUUAUUCGAAAGAGAAGGUAAAAUUUAGAUCUAACCUAGUUUAAUUUAAGUUUCAGCUUAUUAGUUUAUCAAGUUAAAUCAAAUUAAUUUUAAAUCAGUGUAUUUAUUUUUAAAUAACAUUAAUGUUUUUAUAAAAAGUUAAAAAAUAAAUUUCUUAAUUGAUUUCAUCUAAAUUAGGAGUUUACCCGUUAAAUCACCUGCGUUUAACAAAUUUAAUUUUCAAAAUGGUUCAAAAACAAAUCUCAUACGGGCAAAAUUCUAGGUCAACAAAACACCAUGUCAACCUGCCAUACCAUGUGUUGGAACCCAUUUUUGGGUCCCCACAAAUAAAACAAAAAUAUAUAAUAAUAAUAAUAAUAAAAAAAAAAAGAAUUUGAACAGUGUCGUUUUGACACUGUUCCUCUACCCGCCGCGCUCCAUGCCGUUGGAGCCGAACCUCGACAGUAGCACCCAAUGGCCGACCAACGGCCGCAUGCCCUGCUCCCCAUGCGCAAUGAUGCCUUCCCCGCUCCCCCUUCGCCUAUAAAUACUGCUCUUAGCAGCUGUAUUAAGGGAGGAUUUUUUUGGAUGGGAGAGGGCUCUUUUGAAACUGAAAAGGGGGAAGUUUGAAACAGGGGAGGGAAUUUAAGAGAAGAGGAAUAGGGAGUGUAGAAGGGGAAGAGGCUUGAUAAUGAAGAGAAGAGAAAGCAAAAUGAAAUACCAAGGGGAGUGAACAGUCGAGUCUCGCCACUGCUUGGAGCUGCCAUCCGUGAGCCACUACACCGCCACCGGCCUCCACCGCCAGCGAAGCAGUCAGAACAACAAGGCACCGCCUACCUUCCUCUUAGAACCACCACUUGGAAGAAGAAGCAGAGAAGCAAGGUGACAGAAACAGUGAAGCAAAGCAAACAGAAGCCAACCGGGAAGAAAAACAGAGACUGGGGUCUCUGCACGGAGAAGAAGAAGAACCGUGCCUUACCCUCGGGAACCAACACCAUCCCAGCCAUCCUCCCCAGUAACACGCCAACUGCACCAGCGUUGCCAAACGCCACCACCAUCCUGCCUCAGCUCAUCAUCUUCCUCCCACCCGGCGCUGCACCACUUGAAGAAAAGGCAGCACUUGCUCCUCUGCACGGGGAAGGAGUAAACAGCUGCUGUCAUUGGACUUUCCAGUCACUGUCAUCUUUCUCCCACACGCCGCCGCCACCAACACCUCCACAAAGCUGCUGCAGAGAAGGAAGAACAAGGUUGACAGAGGGAACAAAGGAAACAGGGAGAACAGAGCUGAAGAAAAAACAGCAGAGAGGAGGAAGAGCAGCCGCGGCAACGCCACCGCCAAACCGGCCACCAGCACCACCGUCAGCCCAUCUAUCCAAGCUCAUCAUCUCAGGUAACCCUUCCCGUUAUCACCAUUUUGGGGUCAUCUUCUUGCAUGCAGAACGUGCACAGUGCACGUUCUGCAAGCAAGAAAAUAAUUAGCCGGUUACUGUGCAUGCACAGUAACCAGCUAAUUAAUUAACGGGUUACUGUGCUCAUGUACAGUAACCCGGUUACUAUGCGUGUACAGUUACUGUUUGUGUGUACAGUACCCCUAGUUACUGUUUGUCUCGGGCUGGGCUGGGUCCAGCCCUGUAGAAAGUAAGCCCAAUUUAUUUUGGGCUGAUUUCGGCCCAGUUUCCUUUUGGGCCAGGUCCGGUCCAGUCAAAAAUUUCAUGAAAUGCUAAAAAAAAAACCUUUUAAAAAUAUGUGAUUUUCUGUAAUUUUAUUACUGUAUUUUGAUCAAUAUCGGUUUGUAUUUUUAUACUGUAAAGAUACAAAUCCGAUAUUAAAAUAUCCGGUUUUCGUCAAGACAUAAAAAAUAAAAUAAAAAAAAAUGUUUUGUUUUCAUGCAUACGGCCUAGUCUCUCUAAUAUAUAUAUAUAUAUAAAUAUUAUAACAUCAUAUUUUCACACAACAAAGGAAAUUUCAAAAAAAUAAUAUAUGUAUUAGCAUGCAUUUUGGCUUUAAUAACCAGUUUAUUCAAGCCAUGAGAACUAGGCCAAUAUUUCAAAAAUUCUAAAAAAUCUUUUUGUCUUCUUUUAGUAUAUGGGAUUACGAAUUUAUAUGUAAAACGUAUUCCUGAAAUUAAAAAUAUGUUUUUUUACAUAGACGCUAGAACGGUUAGGUUUUACCCGAUAAGAUAAGGACCUCCUUAUUGAGGAGGACUUUUCUUGAACCAUAGACGGACCCACAACUAGAAAUACAAUAACACCUUAAGUUUUUUUAUCAGACAAUCAAGCAAUGCAGCUUACCUUAGGUAGGGCGUAUUUGGGGUGCUAAUACCUUCCUUUUACGCAACCAGUCCCCGUGCCCGAUCUCUGAGACCAGUUAGGGUUCCUAGUGACCAAAAUACUAGGUGGCGACUCCCACACCUUUUUUCACCGCUAAGAGACAAAGAAUUCCUUGUCUCCCCACAUUGACCAGAUAUAUAUCCCCCCAUUAAAUUUACAUUUAUAUUUUGUGGGUGGACGAUCGCCGCGACGUCGCUCACGUGCGACACCAUGUUUAAAACAAAUCUUCACGUUUAGGAAAAAAGAAUUAUUUCACUGGGUUCGAAGUUUUAGUUUGGGAACGCGGCUGCGGCUGCGUUUCCAAAAAAUUUAAAAUUUUUUUUUUAUUAAAAUUUAAUAUGGUUUGUAUGUUUUGGAUCGUUUUGAUGUGCUGAUGUCAAAAAUGAUUUUUAAAAAAUAAAAAAACAUCAUUUGCAUACAUUUUAGCACGAAAAGUUAUUUGAAAAGCAUCCACAACCACACUGCCAAACACGCUAAACUAAUUAGAACGCAACUAUUCGUGGCUUAGAAGUAUCAGAUGCUUUUCUUAUGAAUACGAAAGUCUGCUAGACUAGCGAUUCUUUGUUUGCUAGUUGUUAGUUGCCAAUAUUGGGUUGACUAGGAGACCACAAAAGUGCAAAGAAAUGUCUUCAAUAUUUCCCUUCCUAUUUAAAGCUGGAUAUAUGAACUUGAAAUCAAAUUAUAUCUCGGAAAAAAAACCACAAGAAUGGAGAAAAUGGUUUCGAAAUUGGUGUUUAAAAUGACUUUGCUGAUGUUCAUGUUUCAGUUAGCAGAAGCAGCAGCACCUGUAGCGAAGUUUGGUUGUCCAGAUCGAUGCGGUGACAUUACCAUUCCUUACCCUUUUGGAACUGGAAAAGACUGCUACAAGGACGAAUGGUUCGCGGUUGAAUGCAACAAAACCACCAACCCUCCCAGAGCUUUUAUAAGUCGAAUCAAAAUGGAGGUGCUGAAUAUUUCAGUUAAGACAGCCACCGCUACUGUCAAAAGUCCAGUAAUAUCCUUCAAUUGUACUGGCAGGAAAGAUGGUGGAUCUCUGGAUCUCACUGGAUCUCCCUUUGUUUUCUCCGAUUUCUGGAAUGAGUUCAUUGCAGUAGGUUGUGAUACUCCAGUUCUCAUGAGCGGGAUUGAGCCGCAAGUCCUCGGUUGCGUGCCUACAUGCGGUAACCAGCAGAGUACUAACGUUUGGUUGCAAGAAAAUAAUAUGUGUUCAGGUCGAAAUUGCUGUCAGGCUUCAAUCCCUUCACUCCUUCAGGUUUUCAAACCAACAUUAGUUUCUACUAACGUUGAUCAAGGUAGAGAAGCAUGCAAGCUAGCCGUUUUGGUGAAUAGGACAUGGUUUGCAUCGAAUAUAAGUGAUCCAUUCGCACUGCAGUCUAUAGAUUACGUUCCAGCGAACUUGGGUUGGGUGAUGAACGUGAAUGAUUCUGAUAUUUCCAUUUCUUGCAACACGUAUUACAAUGAAUCCUUAAAAUCUGAAUGUGCGUGUUGGCAUGGAUUUGAGGUUAACCCUUACCUUGAACUUGGUUGCAUGGGUAAAUAUUGAUCUUAACUUUUUUCUUGAUUUAUUUAUUAUUUUUAUUCAAGCAAUAGUUUUUUUGAGUGUGUUUAUGUAAUCAAAUUUAAUGAUGGUAAGUGUCAGAUUAAAAUAAAAUGUUAAUUAACGAUGGCAAAUACAUGAUUGGUUUAGAAUCAGGAAGUAGUUUAGUAUUU